rnacentral:rRNA from 1 species
UACGGGGGGGGCAAGCGUUGUUCGGAAUUACUGGGCGUAAAGGGCUCGUAGGUGGCCAACUAAGUCAGACGUGAAAUCCCUCAGCUUAACUGGGGAACUGCGUCUGAUACUGGAUGGCUUGAGAUUGGGAGAGGGAUGCGGAAUUCCAGGUGUAGCGGUGAAAUGCGUAGAUAUCUGGAGGAACACCGGUGGCGAAGGCGGCAUCCUGGACCAACACUGACACUGAGGAGCGAAAGCCAGGGGAGCAAACAGG